rnacentral:rRNA from 1 species
GAUGAACGCUGGCGGCGUGCCUAAUACAUGCAAGUCGAGCGAACGGACGAGAAGCUUGCUUCUCUGAUGUUAGCGGCGGACGGGUGAGUAACACGUGGAUAACCUACCUAUAAGACUGGGAUAACUUCGGGAAACCGUAGCUAAUACCGGAUAAUAUUUUGAACCGCAUGGUUCAAAAGUGAAAGACGGUCUUGCUGUCACUUAUAGAUGGAUCCGCGCUGCAUUAGCUAGUUGGUAAGGUAACGGCUUACCAAGGCAACGAUGCAUAGCCGACCUGAGAGGGUGAUCGGCCACACUGGAACUGAGACACGGUCCAGACUCCUACGGGAGGCAGCAGUAGGGAAUCUUCCUCAAUGGGCGAAAGCCUGACGGAGCAACGCCGCGUGAGUGAUGAAGGUCUUCGGAUCGUAAAACUCUGUUAUUAGGGAAGAACAUAUGUGUAAGUAACUGUGCACAUCUUGACGGUACCUAAGCAGAAAGCCACGGCUAACUACGU